CGAGCAUGGGUCGCCAUUAUUGUUUAUGACCAGUGCGAAAACGACGUCCGCCAUGAUUUUUUUUUCAAACCUGAAUGGUCCGGCGUCUUGGCUGAGGGCGGUGCGCUGUUGACACACGCCAUCUUGGGUUUGGACGAGCAUGUCCACUAUUAAUGGGUGCGAAAACGACGUCCGCCAUUUUUUUUUUUUUUAGUUUAGUAUUUUAAACCUGCUUGGUCCGCCAUCUUGGCUGAGGGCUGAUGCGAAGUCUGCGUCCGCCAUCGCACAGUCAUUCUGGCUUUUUUUUUUUAAACCUGCAUGGUUCGCCAUCUUGGGUGGGGGCGAACCCUAAACCGACAUCCGUCAAUGUGUGCGGUUGUGUAAUAACGUUUCAGCAAUCGUGACGUCGACAUUCGCCUGAACCCUGAAUUGUCCAUGUGACGACACCAAUUACAAAUGGUAAAUGUACUGGACACCUUUUCUGGGAUAUUUCACUGGAAGAUUCAAUGACUGUCAGAGGAUCGAAGAUGUUGCCAGGAAGAGUAAGAGGAAGAGUAAAGGGGCACACUAAACUAAAAUGCAAUGCCUGGGAGAUCCACACCAAGACCCCAUCACCUUCAUUGCCACCCGGAGCACUCUGCUGCAUUACUGAGAACCACAAGAAAGUACUAGGGCACGAUCACCUUGACUAACACUGGAGAGGUCUUUGGCGCAGCUUUUUGAGCUGUGGCACGGCAGUAGAAGAGUAAAGUGCUGGGAUCGAAGUGAGAAGCCAUUUUGAAGGAAAAGUUGAAUGAAGCGCAUGUCCACACUUGUAUUAUUUUUAUUUGAACCUUUAUAUUUUUUGAGCCUACUGGUUUGUCAGUACUACAACUAUUCCAAGUGCCAAACGGAGAGGACAGAUGGUCAGACUUUGUUUGCUUUUCUGUAUUGUUUUUGAAGUGGUUUCUCUCUGGUAUCAAAUAAUUUUUCUUUUCAGGUAGUUGUGGUCAAAGAAUCUAUUCUCUGCAGAGAAUACAACAGGCUGGCCUGUGACUGAAAUGUUCACUGACGUUAUGAGGACCACUACUGUUAACAACAGGACAACCUUCCUUGCACCCUCCUGUUUCGUAGCAUUGACAGGAACUAAUUACCUGCAUAUAUUUUGUCAGUGUAGGUCAGUGGUAUAAAACUUUUUAUAUUUUAUUUUUUUGUCACGGGCCACAUUUGGUGGAUGAUUGUAAUAGCGAAACGUUAUGAUUAAUGAUGACAAUUUG